rnacentral:rRNA from 1 species
CCUACGGGAGGCAGCAGUGGGGGAUAUUGCACAAUGGGGGGAACCCUGAUGCAGCGACGCCGCGUGGGUGAAGAAGCGUUUCGGCGCGUAAAGCUCUAUCGGCAGGGAAGAAGAUGACGGUACCUGACCAAGAAGCCCGGUUAACUAUGUGCCAGCAGCCGCGGUAAUACGGAGGGGGCCAGCGUUAUCCGGAUUUACUGGGUGUAAAGGGGGCGCAGACGGCAGUGCAAGCCAGGAGUGAAAGCCCGGGGCGCAACCCUGGGACUGCUCUUGGAACUGGGUGGCUGGAGUUCAGGAGGGGUAGGCGGAAUUCCUAGUGUAGCGGUGAAAUGCGUAGAUAUUAGGAGGAACACCGGUGGCGAAGGCGGCUUACUGGACUGUAACUGACGUUGAGGCCCGAAGGCGUGGGGAGCAAACAGGAUUAGAUACCCCGGUAGUC